CCAGACUCCUACGGGAGGCAGCAGUGGGGAAUAUUGGACAAUGGGGGGAACCCUGAUCCAGCGACGCCGCGUGAGUGAAGAAGUAUUUCGGUAUGUAAAGCUCUAUCAGCAGGGAAGAAAGAAAUGACGGUACCUGACUAAGAAGCCCCGGCUAACUACGUGCCAGCAGCCGCGGUAAUACGUAGGGGGCAAGCGUUAUCCGGAUUUACUGGGUGUAAAGGGAGCGUAGACGGCAGUGCAAGUCCGGAGUGAAAGCCCGGGGCUCAACCCUGGGACUGCUCUGGAAACUGUAAAGCUGGAGUGCGGGAGGGGCAGGCGGAAUUCCUGGUGUAGCGGUGAAAUGCGUAGAUAUCAGGAGGAACACCGGCGGCGAAGGCGGCCUGCUGGACCGUAACUGACGUUGAGGCUCGAAAGCGUGGGGAGCAAACAGGAUUAGAUACCCCGGUACC
rnacentral:rRNA from 1 species